GAUGAACGCUGGCGGCAUGCCUAACACAUGCAAGUCGAUCGGUAAGGCUCUUCGGAGUACACGAGAGGCGGACGGCUGAGUAACGCGUAGGAACACACCCUGCAGUGAGGGAUAAGACACCGAAAGGUGUUCUAAUACCGCAUACGGUCUUCGGAUUAAAGCAUUUAUGCGCUGAAGGAGUGGCCUGCGUCAUAUUAGAUAGUUGGUGAGGCAAUGGCUCACCAAGUCGAUGAUGUGUAGCUGGUCUGAGAGGAUGAUCAGCCAGACUGGAACUGAGACACGGUCCAGACUCCUACGGGAGGCAGCAGUGAGGAAUAUUUCACAAUGAGCGAAAGCUUGAUGGAGCAAUGCCGCGUGCAGGAUGAAGGCCCUCGGGUUGUAAACUGCUUUUAUAAGAGAAGAUUAUGACGGUAACUUAUGAAUAAGGGACGGCUAACUACGUG
rnacentral:rRNA from 1 species